rnacentral:misc_RNA from 1 species
AACUUCUCUCAACUGCAUCACUCAGUCUGAUGUGGCUUGGACGUGGGGCUUGCAGGCUUUGAAUGAAGUCUGCUCCCCUGAAAUGAAUUAGUGGUAUCUGAGCUGCCAAUAGAUGUGAUAAUUAUCUACUUCUUUUGGUCAUGCUGGUUGUGCUGCUUCUAACAAACACUUGUUUGACAA